rnacentral:misc_RNA from 1 species
UACGUAGGGUGCAAGCGUUAAUCGGAAUUACUGGGCGUAAAGCGUGCGCAGGCGGCUAUGCAAGACAGGUGUGAAAUCCCCGGGCUUAACCCGGGAACUGCAUUUGUGACUGCAUGGCUAGAGUUUGUCAGAGGGGGGUGGAAUUCCACGUGUAGCAGUGAAAUGCGUAGAGAUGUGGAGGAACACCGAUGGCGAAGGCAGCCCCCUGGGACCUGACUGACGCUCAUGCACGAAAGCGUGGGGAGCAAACAGG